rnacentral:rRNA from 1 species
UACGUAGGUGGCAAGCGUUGUCCGGAAUUACUGGGCGUAAAGGGCGUGUAGGCGGCCUUUUAAGUCAGACGUGAAAACCCUGGGCUUAACCCAGGACCUGCGUUUGAUACUGGAGGGCUUGAGGACCGGAGAGGAUAGUGGAAUUCCCAGUGUAGCGGUGAAAUGCGUAGAUAUUGGGAGGAACACCAGUGGCGAAGGCGACUGUCUGGACGGCACCUGACGCUGAGGCGCGAAAGCCAGGGGAGCAAACGGG